GGCAGUUCUCAGGUGACGCACCCCAGGAUUGGGCUCCCUCCUCUCUGGUUCUGGGUGUGUCACCCAAGAACCACC
rfam:Myotis brandtii contig148070, whole genome shotgun sequence.